AACGUAGGACGCAAGCGUUAUCCGGAGUUACUGGGCGUAAAAGCGCGGGCAGGCGGCUCGCAACGUCUGAUGUGAAAUCUCCUCGCUCAACGGGGAGAGGCCAUUGGAAACGGUCGAGCUGGAGGGCGUAGAGGUAGGCGGAAUUCCGGGUGGAGUGGUGAAAGUGACGUAGAGAGACCGGAGGAACACCAGAGGCGGAAGGCGGCCUACUGGGGCUG
rnacentral:rRNA from 1 species